GGGCAAGUGGCGGAAUGGCAUACGCACAGGACUUAAAAUCCUGGGUCCUUUAAAGGACGUGAGGGUUCGACUCCCUCCUUGCCCA
rnacentral:tRNA from 1 species